rnacentral:rRNA from 1 species
AGAGUUUGAUCCUGGCUCAGGACGAACGCUGGCGGCGCGCCUAACACAUGCAAGUCGAACGAGCGAGAGAGAGCUUGCUUUCUCGAGCGAGUGGCGAACGGGUGAGUAACGCGUGAGGAACCUGCCUCAAAGAGGGGGACAACAGUUGGAAACGACUGCUAAUACCGCAUAAGCCCACGACCCGGCAUCGGGUAGAGGGAAAAGGAGCAAUCCGCUUUGAGAUGGCCUCGCGUCCGAUUAGCUAGUUGGUGAGGUAACGGCCCACCAAGGCGACGAUCGGUAGCCGGACUGAGAGGUUGAACGGCCACAUUGGGACUGAGACACGGCCCAGACUCCUACGGGAGGCAGCAGUGGGGAAUAUUGCACAAUGGGGGAAACCCUGAUGCAGCGACGCCGCGUGGAGGAAGAAGGUCUUCGGAUUGUAAACUCCUGUUGUUGAGGAAGAUAAUGACGGUACUCAACAAGGAAGUGACGGCUAACUACGUGCCAGCAGCCGCGGUAAAACGUAGGUCACAAGCGUUGUCCGGAAUUACUGGGUGUAAAGGGAGCGCAGGCGGGAAGACAAGUUGGAAGUGAAAUCCAUGGGCUCAACCCAUGAACUGCUUUCAAAACUGUUUUUCUUGAGUAGUGCAGAGGUAGGCGGAAUUCCCGGUGUAGCGGUGGAAUGCGUAGAUAUCGGGAGGAACACCAGUGGCGAAGGCGGCCUACUGGGCACCAACUGACGCUGAGGCUCGAAAGUGUGGGUAGCAAACAGGAUUAGAUACCCUGGUAGUCCACACCGUAAACGAUGAUUACUAGGUGUUGGAGGAUUGACCCCUUCAGUGCCGCAGUUAACACAAUAAGUAAUCCACCUGGGGAGUACGACCGCAAGGUUGAAACUCAAAGGAAUUGACGGGGGCCCGCACAAGCAGUGGAGUAUGUGGUUUAAUUCGACGCAACGCGAAGAACCUUACCAAGUCUUGACAUCCCUUGACGAUGCUGGAAACAGUAUUUCUCUUCGGAGCAAGGAGACAGGUGGUGCAUGGUUGUCGUCAGCUCGUGUCGUGAGAUGUUGGGUUAAGU